rnacentral:tRNA from 1 species
GCCGUUAUAGCUCAGCGGUAGAGCGCUUCCUUGGUAAGGAAGAGGUCUCGGGUUCAAGUCCCGAUAAUGGCUCA